CUCUGCUAUUGCUAUGCUUGUUGCUUACUUUAGUUGAACAAAUCGUGUGGCAGAUAUGCGUGACAGUAGUAGACACUUAACCGCUAAGCUUCCUUCUUCAACGAAUCCUCCUCUCUCUGGUCAUAUACCUAGACACCCCUCACUCCUCCUUCAAUUCAACACAACGCAAAUUGGUUAUGUUAUGUUAUUAUUGUUACGAUGGCAGAAGGCACGAAUGUUGCAUGGUAAACAUUCUCUCCUUCACAUCUCCUCGGGAUGUGCGUAGGCUCUCUUUGGUUUCUUCCAUUUUCAGAUCCGACGCUGUCUGGGACAAGUUUUUGCCUUCAGAUUUCCACACCAUGAUGGAAUGGCAGAUGAGUCCACCCUUUCCUUCCACUAUCUUUUCUGUUGUAAUUUUUUUGAGAAUUUGUUUUCUGAAUCUAGUCAAUUUUUUUCCCACCUUCAAUCCUUAUCUCAGUCACGUUUAUUAACAAAUUCACAUUUCUGAUACAAAUUGGUUGAACUCUGGAUAGAUUCUAUAAAUAAGAUGGAGUAGUCUUAGUUUUGUAUCAUCAAAUCUACUUUUCUAUUUAAAAAAUAUAUCAUCUAUUUAGAAUGAACAGGGGUUUGAAAAAACAAAAUUAUUUGAAAAAACAAAAUUGUCUUUAGGUUCGAUAUAAACAUGUAAAUGUAUUUAAAUGUCAUUUGCAUGUUUAGAUGAGUAUGUAUAUAUUAAUUACACACCAUACUUUCCUCCUUUGUUCCUCCUUCUUAGAAGGACCUCUAUCUCUAUCUCUACCAAAACCCGCUCCUCAUAGACGGUAAAAUGGUACCUAAACAAAUAUUCCUCUAAUCUCUUUUUAAAAAAGGAGCGUUAAAAAGAUUGUUUGUGGUGAAGAGAUUAAUUUUGCAAUAUUUUAUUAAUUUGGGAAAUGGCAUGAUGAUGCUGAGCUUUCAACUGGAUAAAGUAUUGGCGCUGGACUUCGCUUCCAGAUGCCAGGGGUGGGAACGUGUAAACUUUCAUCAGGAUACAUAUCUUAUAUCCUAUAAGAUGCACGUAUCUUAUUUGUGCAUGAUAGAGCAUAGUUUAGGUAAAAUGGAAUUGCAUAGUGGAAGUGUCCAUUGGAAUAGCCGGCGAUGAGACUCGCAAGCGAACCGUAUUCUUGGACGCCGAAAGAAGACGGAGGUUGUUCCUCGCCGUGCACGCUUCCUUGUCCCUGUAGAAGAUAACAAUAGUGUCGAUCUUCAGCACCCAAAGGAGAGAGCAGAUGGGAGAGUUCUUCAACGAUGGAGAAGAGGACAAGCAAGUGGAAAUGGGUGUUUAUGAGAUCAAGAGUGGUGAUUGGAAAGACUCCCUUUAAUAAUUAAAGGAAAGGAAAAUGCUUCUUGUCACGUAUUUAGUCCACAAUGUUGUUCUUCAAUGAUUAUUCAGUUUUUGAAGCUUCCGAGACCAAACCAAAUUGUUGCCAUGCUACUGAAUAAUAAUGUGUGUUGUUUGGACCCGAUUCGGUGAUUAGCUUGUCAGUUCAUGUGCUCCUUCCAGUAUAUAUAUAUGGACGCAUGUCAUGUUACACAUGAAUGAAGAUAUGCUGCAGAGAUGCUGGACCACUGAUUAUCUUUGUUGAUAAUGUAAACAUUUUAUAUUUCAUUUUUUUAAAUAACCUUAAAGUAGGGAUGAUUUUGUCAGAAUUUAUAACUUUGUGUGAAUAAGAUAUAAACAUCAAAUUAUCA